UUAAAAAAGCCGCCCGACCUACUUUCACACCCUUGUGUAUCUACCAUGUUGCUUUGGCGGGCCGACCCGGUUUUGACCCGGGCGGUCGGCGCCCCCAGCCUAGUCUCUAGGCCAGGACGCCUGGCUAAGUGCCCGCCAGUAUACAAAACUCCAGCGAUUAUUCUGUGUAGUCCUGAGAAUUCAUUUAAUGAAAUAAAACUUUCAACAACGGAUCUCUUGGUUCUGGCAUCGAUGAAGAACGCAGCGAAAUGCGAUAAGUAAUGUGAAUUGCAGAAUUCAGUGAAUCAUCGAAUCUUUGAACGCACAUUGCGCCCCCUGGCAUUCCGGGGGGCAUGCCUGUUCGAGCGUCAUUUCAACCCUCAAGCUCUGCUUGGUAUUGGGCGACGUCCGCUGCCGGACGCGCCUGGAAGACCUCGGNGACGGCGUCUCAGCCUCGAGCGUAGUAGUAAAAUAUCUCGCUUUGGAGGAGGGGGGCGCUGGCCGCCGGACAAU
rnacentral:rRNA from 1 species